UACGGAGGGUGCAAGCGUUAUCCGGAUUCACUGGGUUUAAAGGGUGCGUAGGUGGGUUGAUAAGUCAGUGGUGAAAUCCCCGAGCUUAACUUGGGAACUGCCAUUGAUACUAUUGAUCUUGAAUACCGUGGAGGUCAGCGGAAUAUGUCAUGUAGCGGUGAAAUGCUUAGAUAUGACAUAGAACACCAAUUGCGAAGGCAGCUGGCUACGCGAAUAUUGACACUGAUGC
rnacentral:rRNA from 1 species